AACGAACGCUGGCGGCGUGGAUAAGACAUGCAAGUCGGACGAGAUUUUUCGUUGUAGCAAUACGAUGGAAAGUUUAGUGGCGAACGGGUGCUUAACACGUGGGCAACCUGCCGAGAAGUGGGGGAUAGCUCGCCGAAAGGCGAAUUAAUACCGCAUGUGAUUAGAGAGGACAUCCUUUCGAAAUUAAAGUCGGGGCAACCUGACGCUUUUUGUUGGGCCCGCGGCCUAUCAGCUAGUUGGUGAGGUAACGGCCCACCAAGGCUUUGACGGGUAGCUGGUCUGAGAGGACGACCAGCCACACUGGGACUGAGACACGGCCCAGACACCUACGGGUGGCAGCAGUCGAGAAUUUUUGACAAUGGGGGAAACCCUGAUCGAGCGACGCCGCGUGGAGGAUGAAGGUCUUCGGAUUGUAAACUCCUGUCAUUGGGGAACAAUGCGUGACGGUUAACUGCCGUUGCGUUGAUAGUAACCGAAGAGGAAGAGACGGCUAACUCUGUGCCAGCAGCCGCAGUAAGAC
rnacentral:rRNA from 1 species